UACAGAAGCAGCAAGCGUUAUUCAUCGUAACUGGGUAUAAAGCGUAUGUAGGCUGUUUAUAAGUAACCAACAACAGAAAAACUACAAUAGCAAAGUAGGAUGUGUGAAAAUAAACUAGAGUUAAGUAAGAGGACCAAGGAAUUCCUAAAGGAGGGAUAGAAUAUUAAGAGAAUGGGAGGAACACAAAUGCGAAGGCAAGAAACCAUUACAUAGACUGACGCUGAGAUACUAAAGUAUGGGGAGCAAAUAGG
rnacentral:rRNA from 1 species